rnacentral:lncRNA from 1 species
GACAGUUCAUCAGACGAUGAGGAAGAAAUUCUAAAUGUCUUAAACAUGAUUACUAAGCGUAAACCAUUGGAAUUAAGGCCACGCAUAAAAAAUUAUAUUGAAAAUGUUAUUGCUUUACUUUCGGAUGAAGGAUUCAAAGCACAUUUUAGAAACACUUCAUAAAUGUUAUUGUCGCCAUCAAUAAGUUCGUAUCGAACAGUUUCCAUUGUUACAAUUAAUUUUUUAACAAUCUCGUCAAUUUUAAUUAUACACAUUAAUGUACGGCGGACGGCGGCCAUAUGCUUUACUGAAUUUGCACUACCUCCGGACAAUGUGUAAAAUUAGCCGGAAGUCAGUAAUUCCCUAGGGUCUAUUUUUGUAGAAUAGAUAGUAAUUUACAGUUGCUGACAGCACGCUGAAAACGAUUUCGGAACGAAAAAA